rnacentral:rRNA from 1 species
GACGAACGCUGGCGGCGUGCUUAACACAUGCCAGUCGAACGGAAAGGCCCUGCUUUUGCCGGGUUCCAGCGUGGCGAACGGGAGAGUAACACGUGAGUAUCCCGCCCUUGACUUUGUGAUAACUUCAGGAAACUGCGGAUAAUACCUGAUAGGAGCUCCUGCUGCAUGGUGGGGGUUGGAAAGCAUCGGCCGAGGUGGAUGGACUCGCGGCUUAUCAGCUUGUUGGUGGAGUAGUGGCCUAGCAAGGCUUUGACGGGUAGUCGGCAUGGGAGGGUGGCCACCGUCCAUGCUACUGCGAGAGGGCGCAGAGUGCUACGUGAGACAGCAGUCGGAAAUAUUGCACAAUGGGCGGAAGCGUGAUGCAGAAGCGUCGCGUGCGGGAUGACGGCCUUCGGGUUGUAAACCGCUUUCGCCUGUGACGAAGCGUGAGUGACGGUAAUGGGUAAAGAAGCACCGGCUAACUACGUG